CUCCAUUUGAGACGAUUCUCUAUGAAGUUAUAAAUGAUGCCUAAAAGAUCUGCAUGCGCGUAUGUGAUCUGUAUGUGUAAAUUAUAAACUGCUGCAAAUGUCUAAGUGACUUGUUGUGUACGUGGAGAAAAUAUUUUCCUGAAAUAACCGGAUAUGUACUGUUCUCUCUCUCAGUAUACAGUACGUUUACAUGGACAACAUUAAUCCGAUAUUAAUCCGAUUAAGACGAUGUUCUGAUUAAGAAUCUAGCAUGUAAACAACAAUUUAUUAUUACCUUAAUCCAAUUAAAGUCACACUCGAAGUAAACACUAAUCGAAUUAGGACGUGUGGAGUAGUCCUGUUUUAGUCGCAUUAUCGACGUGCGUUACAGACUACGUUUACAUGGACAGCAGUGAUCUAAUUAUGGACCUUAUUCUGAAUAAGACAAUAUUCUAAUUAAGGUGUUUACAUGAGUCGCUUUUAGAAUACUGCUUUCAUGUUCCUGUUUUAUAUAUUAUAGAACAUACAGUUAAUCUUCGUUAUGGUACAGAUGUAUAUGUAUACAGAUUUGGGUGUUUUCAAUUUUACGAAAGCUUCAAGUGCGGUUAAUUAUUAGUCAUGCUGUACGUGCUAAUAGACGACCGCUUGAAGCCGUGGGCUGCGUCCCAAACCGCAUACUUACUUACUAUAUAGUAGCUGAUAUACAUGUAUUUCGCUUACUGUAUAGCAGGUAAGUACGCGGUUUCAGAUGCAGGCGUGCUCUCGUGUUUGCCGUAAAACGGUUGAGCGCUGCCGUGUGUGUACGUGUCCUGUCGCACAAUGCGGUGAAAACUCCCACACGACGUUACUAGUGUGAUUAAGGUGUGUACAUGUCUGUAACGCACGUCGAUAACGCGACUAAAACAGGAAUACUCCACACGUCUUAAUUCCAUUUGUGUUUACUUCGAGUAUGACCUUAAUCGGAUUAAGGUCAUCAAUAAUCUCUGUUUACAUGCUAGUUUCUUAAUCAGAGUAUCGUCUUAAUCGGGUUCAUAUCGGAUUAUCGUCGUCCAUGUAAACGUACUGAUUGACAUGUACACACCUUAAUCACACUAGUAACGUCGUGUGGGAGUUUUUGCGACAGGACACGUACACACACGGCAGUGCUCAGCUGUUUGACGGCAAACAAGAGAGCACGGCUGCGUCCGAAACCACGUACUUACCCACUGUAUAGCAGGCGAAAUACAUGUAUCUCAGCUACUAUAUAAUAAGUAAGUACGCGGUUUGGGACGCAGCCCACGGCUUCAAGCAGUCGUCUAUUUGCACGUACAGCACGACGAAUAAUUAACUGCACUUGAAGCUUCCGUAAAAAUUAGUAAUGAAACGCCCAAAACUGUAUACGGAACCAUAACGAAGACGAACUGUACAUCGAUACGUGAAAUUCUGGAGGGACGUCGGACGGCGUGGCGUGGGGAUGUAAUGACGUGUGCCGUUAAUCUAACUAUGUUCUAUAACAUGAACAACAGGAACAUGAAAGUAUUCUAAAAGCGACUCAUGUAAACACCUUAAUCAGAAUACUGUCUUAUUCAGAAUAAGGUCAAUAAUUAGAUCACUGCUGUCCAUAUAAAUGCACUACUCCAGUAGAACUACUUUCUACUGAUUACGUCACCCAUCAUCAUAACAGGAUCUGAACAAAGACAUAUGCAAUCUUUGAUAUGGAGUAGUAAAAGUAUUGUUUUGGGUAUUGUUGGGACAAGCACUGCAUGAUUCUGAGAACUAGCCACUUAGUCUGACACCGAAUAGUAGAAUAAAAAAGCAAUAGAAACACGCUUUGUGUUUUAUUUCUCAGAGAUUUUGUGUUAAAUGGUUUAGUUAUAGAGUUUAGCAUUAUCUCAAUGCUGUAAGCAGAUUAUAUGAUAUACAGAAUUUCUAUGUAAAACCAAACCAAUACAAUACCUUUCUUCCAGGAGAUAUUCUUUCUUCACACCAGCUAGAAAUCCAGUAUGAACACAUGGGAGUCAGCUUAAUGUUGUUGCAGCUCUAGUUCACAUCGUGACCAUCCUCCUCCUCCUCAUCAUCAUCACCAUCAUCGUCACCAUCAGCAGUCAUGGUCUCUCGUUCUCUCCUGCUGGUUCUGCUGGGUCUCGUCUGUCUUCAGUCCUUCACAACAGCUGAGAGUCAAAAUGAAGGUGGUCGAUGCUGUUUCAGAUACCAGACACAUCCAAUCCCUGUAAGACUCAUUACAGCGUAUGAAGUAACAGACCAUCAGUGUCCAAAACCUGGAGUCUUCUUUACUCUAAAGGACGGCCGUAAGGUGUGUGCAGACACCAGCGUCGAGUGGGUGCAGAAACUCAUGAAAACAAUUAACCAGCGCCCGACCCAACCUCAAACAACUGAUUAAAUCCUCUCUCCAUUAAUAAGCAUUUAAUUUUAUUUUUUUAAAUACAAAAAGCACUUUUGAUAUAUUUAGGCAGGAGGAAUAAAGCUUUUUAUUAUAAAUCAGAUUUAAACAAACCUUUCAGUCGUUUAGUCUAUUAUUGUUUACCUGAUCUAAACUAUAGGCUGUGAGGAUGAAUGAAUUAUAAUUUAUAUAUAUUAAAGGACAUUUUAAACUGUC